rnacentral:lncRNA from 7 species
UAUGUUUCUGUCUCUGUGGAGGUUCUUUCCGUUGUUUCCGUUGUUGUUCUUGUCCUGUCACCUAAUUUUCUGCCUUAUGUUUCUGUCUCUGUGGAGGUUGUUUCCGUUGUUUCCGUUGUUGUUCUUGUCCUGUCACUAAUUUUCUGCCUAUGUUUCUGUCUCUGUGGAGGUUGUUUCCGUUGUUUCCGUUGUUGUUCUUGUCCUGUCACCUAAUUAUCUGCCUUAUGUUUCUGUCUCUGUGGAGGUUGUUUCGGUUGUUUCGGUUGUUUCCGUUCUUUCUGUUGUUACUGUUGACCUGUCACCUAAUUUUCUGCCUUGUGUUUCUUUCUCUGUGGAGGUUGUUUCCGUUGUUUCCGUUGUUUCCGUUGUUUCCGUUGUUUCCGUUGUUUCCGUUGUUUCCGUUGUUUCCAUUGUUGUUCUUGGCCUGUCACCUAAUUUUCUGCCCUAUGUUUCUGUCUCUGUGGAGGUUCUUUCUGUUGUUUCCGUUGUUUCCGUUGUUUCUGUUGUUUCUGUUGUUGUUCUUGACCUUUCACCUAAUUUUCUGCCUUAUAUUUCUGUCUCUGUGGAGGUUCUUUCCGCUGUUUCCGUUGUUUCCGUUGUUGUUCUUGACAUGUCACCUAAUUUUCUGCCUUAUGUUUCUGUCUCUGUGGAGGUUGUUUCCGUUGUUUCCGUUGUGUCCGUUGUUGUUAUUGACCUCUCACCUAAUUUUCUGCCUUGUGUUUCUGUCUCUGUGGAGGUUGUUUCCGUUGUUUCCGUUGUUUCCGUUGUUUCUGUUGUUGUUCUUGACCUGUCACGUAAUAUUCUGCCGUAUGUUUCUGUCUCUCUGGAGGAUGUUUCCGUUAGUGUUUCCGUUAGUGUUUCCGUUAGUGUUUCCGUUAGUGUUUCCGUUAGUGUUUCCCUUGUUGUUCUUGACCUGUCACGUAAUUUUCUCUUUAUGUUUCUGUUCUGUGGAGGUUGUGUUGUUUCCGUUGUUUCCGUUUUUUCCGUUGUUUCCGUUGUUGUUCUUGACCUGUCACGUAAUAUUCUGCCGUAUGUUUCUGUCUCUGUGGAGGUUGUGUUGUUUCCGUUGUUUCCGUUGUUUCCGUUGUGGUUCUUGACCUGUCACCUAAUUUUCUGCCUUAUGUUUUUGUCUCUGUGGAGGUUUUUUCCGUUGUUUCCGUUGUUUUCGUUGUUUCCAUUCUUUCCGUUGUUCUUCUUGACCUGUCACCUAAUUUUCUGCCUUAUGUUUCUGUCUCUGUGGAGGUAGUUUCGGUUGUUUCUGUUGUUUCCGUUGUUGUUCUUGACCUGUCACCUAAUUUUCUGCUCUAUGUUUCUGUCUCUCUGGAGGAUGUUUCCGUUAGUGUUUCCGUUAGUGUUUCCGUUAGUGUUUCCGUUGUUGUUCUUGACCUGUUACGUAAUUUUCUCUUUUAUGUUUCUGUCUCUGUGGAGGUUGUGUUUUUUCCGUUGUUUCGGUUGUUUCCGUUGUUUCCGUUGUUUCCUUGUUUCCGUUGUUUCCGUUGUUGUUCUUGACCUGUCACGUAAUUUUCUGCCGUAUGUUUCUGUCUCUGUGGAGGUUCUUUAUGUUCUUUCCGUUCUUUCCGUUCUUUCUGUUGUUGUUCUUGACCUGUCACCUUAUUUUCUGCCGUAUGUUUCUGUCUCUGUGGAGGUUCUUUCCGUUCUUUCUGUAGUUGUUCUUGAAAUGUCCCCUAAUUUUCUGCCGUAUGUUUCUGUCUCUGUGGAGGUUCUUUAUUUCCGUUCUUUCCAUUCUUUCCGUUCUUUCCAUUGUUAUUCUUGACCUGUCACCUAAUUUUCUGCCUUAUGUUUCUGUCUCUGUGGUGGUUGUUUCCGUUGUUUCCGUUGUUUCCGUUGUUGUUCUUCACUUUCACGUAUUUUUCUGUUGUAUGUUUCUGUCUCUGUGGUGGUUCUUUCCGUUCUUUCCGUUCUUUCUGUUGUUGUUUUUGAACUGUCACCUAAUUUUCUGUCUUUGUUUCUGUCUCUGUGGAGGUUCUUUCCGUUCUUUCCGUUGUUGUUUUUGAACUGUCACCUAAUUUUCUGCCCUAUGUUUCUGUCUCUGUGGAGGUUCUUUCUGUUGUUUCCGUUGUUUCCGUUGUUUCUGAUGUUUCUGUUGUUGUUCUUGACCUGUCACCUAAUUUUCUGCCUUAUGUUUCUGUCUCUGUGGAGGUUGUUUCCGCUGUUUCCGUUGUUUCCGUUGUUGUUCUUGACUGUCACCUAAUUUUCUGCCUUAUGUUUUCUGUCUCUGUGGAGGUUGUUUCCGUUGUUUCCGUUGUGUCCGUUGUUGUUAUUGACCUCUCACCUAAUUUUCUGCCUUAUGUUUCUGUCUCUGUGGUGGUUGUUUCCGUUGUUUCCGUUGUUUCCGUUGUUUCCGUUGUUUCCGUUGUUGUUCUUCACUUGUCACGUAUUUUUCUGUUGUAUGUUUCUGUCUCUGUGGAGGUUUUUCCGUUCUUUCCGUUUUUCCGUUCUUUCUGUUGUUGUUCUUGACCUGUCACCUAAUUUUCUGCCCUUAUGUUUCUGUCUCUGUGGAGGUUCUGUUCCGUUCUUUCCGUUUCGUUGUUGUUUUUGAACUGUCACCUAAUUUUCUGCCCUAUGUUUCUGUCUCUGUGGAGGUUUUUCUUUGUUUUCCGUUUUUCGUUGUUUCUGUUGUUGUUUUGACUGUCACCUAAUUUUCUGCCUAUGUUCUGUCUCUGUGAGGUUGUUUCCGCUGUUUCCGUUGUUUCCAUUGUUGUUCUUGACCUGUCACCUAAUUUUCUGCCUUAUGUUCUGUCUCUGUGGAGGUUUUUCCGUUUCGUUUUCGUUUUUCCGUUGUUUCUGUUGUUGUUCUUGACCUGUCACCUAAUUUUCUGCCUUAUGUUUCUGUCUCUGUGGAGGUUCUUUCCGUUCUUUCCGUUUUUCCGUUGUUUUCCGUUGUUUCUGUUGUUGUUCUUCCUGUCUAUUUUCUGCCUUAUGUUUCUGUCUCUGUGGAGGUUGUUUCCGCUGUUUCCGUUGUUGUUCUUGACCUGUCACCUAAUUUUCUGCCUUGUGUUUCUGUCUCUGUGGUGGUUGUUUCCGCUGUUUCCGUUGUUUCCGUUGUUGUUCUUGACCUGUCACCUAAUUUUCUGCCUUAUGUUUCUGUCUCUUUGGAGGUUGUGUUGUUUCCGUUGUUUCCGUUGUUUCCGUUGUGGUUCUUGACCUGUCACCUAAUUUUCUGCCUUAUGUUUUUGUCUCUGUGGAGGUUUUUUCCGUUGUUUCCGUUGUUUUCGUUGUUUCCAUUCUUUCCGUUGUUCUUCUUGACCUGUCACCUAAUUUUCUGCCUUAUGUUUCUGUCUCUGUGGAGGUAGUUUCUGUUGUUUCGUUGUUUCCGUUGUUGUUCUUGACCUGUCACCUAAUUUUCUGCUCUAUGUUUCUGUCUCUCUGGAGGAUGUUUCCGUUAGUGUUUCCGUUAGUGUUUCCGUUAGUGUUUCCGUUGUUGUUCUUGACCUGUUACGUAAUUUCUCUUUUAUGUUUCUGUCUCUGUGGAGGUUGUGUUUUUUUCCGUUGUUUCCGUUGUUUCGUUGUUUCCCUUGUUUCCGUUGUUUCCGUUGUUGUUCUUCCUGUGUAAUUUUCUGCCGUAUGUUCUGUCUCUUGAGUUCUUUAUGUUCUUUCCGUUCUUUCCGUUCUUUCUGUUGUUGUUCUUGACCUGUCACCUUAUUUUCUGCCGUAUGUUUCUGUCUCUGUGGAGGUUCUUUCCGUUCUUUCUGUAGUUGUUCUUGAAUGUCCCCUAUUUUCUGCCGUAUGUUUCUGUCUCUGUGGAGGUUCUUUAUUCCGUUCUUUCCAUUCUUUCCGUUCUUUCCAUUGUUAUUCUUGACCUGUCACCUAAUUUUCUGCCUUAUGUUUCUGUCUCUGUGGUGGUUGUUUCCGUUGUUUCCGUUGUUUCCGUUGUUUCCGUUGUUGUUCUUCACUUGUCACGUAUUUUUCUGUUGUAUGUUUCUGUCUCUGUGGAGGUUCUUUCCGUUCUUUCCGUUCUUUCCGUUCUUUCUGUUGUUGUUUUUGAACUGUCACCUAAUUUUCUGCCCUUUGUUUCUGUCUCUGUGGAGGUUCUUUCCGUUCUUUCCGUUGUUGUUUUUGAACUGUCACCUAAUUUUCUGCCCUAUGUUUCUGUCUCUGUGGAGGUUCUUUCCGUUGUUUCCGUUGUUUCCGUUGUUUCUGUUGUUUCUGUUGUUGUUCUUGACCUGUCACCUAAUUUUCUGCCUUAUGUUUCUGUCUCUGUGGAGGUUGUUUCCGCUGUUUCCGUUGUUUCCGUUGUUGUUCUUGACCUGUCACCUAAUUUUCUGCCUUAUGUUUCUGUCUCUGUGGAGGUUGUUUCCGUUGUUUCCGUUGUGUCCGUUGUUGUUCUUGACCUGUCACCUAAUUUUCUGCCUUAUGUUUCUGUCUCUGUGAGGUUGUUGUUUCCGUUGUUUCCGUUGUUUCUGUUGUUGUUCUUGACCUGUCACGUAAUAUUCUGCCGUAUGUUUCUGUCUCUCUGGAGGAUGUUUCGUUAGU